rnacentral:rRNA from 1 species
AUUGAACGCUGGCGGCAUGCUUUACACAUGCAAGUCGAACGGUAACAGGCCUUCGGGUGCUGACGAGUGGCGAACGGGUGCGUAAUGCAUCGGAACGUGCCCAGAGGUGGGGGAUAACGCAGCGAAAGCUGUGCUAAUACCGCAUGUGAUCUGAGGAUGAAAGCGGGGGACCAGGCAGCAAUGUUUGGCCUCGCGCCUUUGGAGCGGCCGAUGUCGGAUUAGGUAGUUGGUGGGGUAAAGGCCUACCAAGCCGACGAUCUGUAGCUGGUCUGAGAGGACGACCAGCCACACUGGGACUGAGACACGGCCCAGACUCCUACGGGAGGCAGCAGUGGGGAAUUUUGGACAAUGGGCGCAAGCCUGAUCCAGCAAUGCCGCGUGCGGGAAGAAGGCCUUCGGGUUGUAAACCGCUUUUGUACGGAACGAAAAGGCUCUGGCUAAUACCUGGGGCUGAUGACGGUACCGUAAGAAUAAGCACCGGCUAACUACGUG